CCGCAUUGGAUGUGACGCAGCCUUCCCCCUCUUCCUCUGAAUCAGACUUCAGUGCGACGGCUGGAGCGGAAACGGAUGCAAAUCACCCUUUCACGGCCAACCAGCCAGGUCCUUUCACUGAGAUCCCCUUGGACUUCACAUUGGUAGCACCUGCCAAAUGCCAACUCUGUACCUGAAAACGGAGGUACUCGACCUAAACGGUAUCAUUCCUAAACGGUAGAUGCCAUCUUCUUGUGAAACAUCUAAACAAAAGCUGACAUAGGAGAUAUCUGGUGGGAUACAUGGUGGUCAUCUACAUCUUUUGUAAUGGAUCUCAUUUGAUCGUACACAUGUCUCCAAGCACCUGGUACAACAAAAAUGGAGACAUUGGACAAGCUAUCGGAGGUGUGUGGAGUUGGGCUGGCAACAGCUGGGACAGGAAACCUUCUCCUUGGACAGGUAGAGCAUGGGCUGGAUGCUGCUGCUGAAGUCCAUCAGGCCAAAGGCGACGUAGUGGACGUAGCAGCGGAAGACAUUGGGCGAGAAGUAGUGCUGGAAUGGAAACAGCGCCACCGGCGGGAAGUAGUUGAACACAAUGAUGGCCAAGAUUAUGAGCACCGUCUUGAAGGCCCUCUUCUUCACCGGGUGCAUCUCGUCUCGGCCGGGCCCAGACUGCCGCAGGACCCACAGGAUGGCGAUGUUGCAGAACACCAUGACGGCAAAGGCGGCGAGGAUCAUGGCGGCGAAGACCUUUUCAAAGUUGACGAUGUUGCCUACACAUUUGGCAGCGGCGUAGGCCAGCGUGAUGAGCCACACCAGCAUGGCGAGGCCGGCCCGGUGCUGACGGUCCUUCAGCUUGGUGAAGGUGAUGGGGUGCACCACGGCCAUGUAGCGGUCCAGGCAGAUGCAUGAGAGGAAGAGCGGCGAGGAGUCUUUCAUACCAUAGAAGAAGCGCAGGACGUACCAGGUGCUGCUAGUGGUAAGGAAGACGAUGUUGGCCAGCUCCAAGGGGGGGAUGAGGCAGAAGAGGACGUCCAGCACGGCCAAGUGCAGGAUGAAGAUGUCCGACGUGGACGAGUCACCCUUGUUCUUGUGAAUGAGCCACAGCACCAUGAUGUUGGCCGGGAUGCCCAAGAACAUGUUGAUGAACUGCAGGCCCAGGUACCAGAUGAGGACGGCCGGCAUGUUCCUGCAGCCCUCGUACACCGUCUUCUCGGAAAGCGUGUUGUUGACGGGCCUGUGCUCGAUGAAAAGCACCGACAGGUUGAGGAAGAGAACCCCCAUGACGGCGAUGUCAGAGGGUGCGCCCGCUGGAGGAACUGAGAUCACAAAACACACAUUACACUAAGUCCCCUACUAACGAACAUCCGACGUGCGAACUUUCGGAGAUACGAACACAAGCAGACUAGUCUAUAUUUUCAUGUGUUUUGCCUUAUAAAUCCAUAUUUAUAUUGCUACAUGCUUGACCAGCAGAGGGCACUGUGACACUGCUAAUGGGACCAACAGCGGGAGAACAAGAGGAGGAGGAGGAGAGGAGAGAGAAAGCUACAUUGUAGCUGUAUAAUACAACCCGGACAGAGCGUGUGAUUAAAGUUUAUGAAGAGUUAAUAGGCCUGCUUAAUUUGACACCACCCACAGAACACUACCUCUUUUAGAAGAGUCUAACGACGACGACCAUUUGUUCUUUUUUUUUAAUAUUGCCUCCUCCUCCACUACCUCCUCUUCAAAGGUAAAUAACAUUUAUCAUUACGUAUUAUUAUAUCAUUUUUAUUAUUGUUUUUUUUCAUUAAUUAUCCUUGUUUAAUAUUACUACUGCAUCCAAACUCAUAUUUACAUACAUACACAUAUACUGUAUAUGUAUACACGUACAUGUAGUACCUACAGUAUAUCAUUGGUAAUAUUACCUUUUCCCCUACUUAAGAACAAUUCGACAUAAGAACCGUCGUCUUAAAUCACAUGGCCAUGUCUUAACAAAUAUAUUCCGUAACACAGCAGCAACAGAACCAAUGUUGGAAUAGCAGAAAGGAACAAACUGUUCAGUCAGCAUACCGCUGAUGAGUUCAGUCUACCUGAAGUUUCAGUCUGCACAAAGUAGUUAUGCUUACUGUUAACAUCUGUAAAUUGUAACAGAAUCAUUACUGAAAAAGUUCUUCCCUUCAACUGCUGUAACUAAGCGAGCUUCCUCCUCCUCCAAUCUCCUGUUUGUCUCGACGCUUUAUAAAUUGCCUGCAAGUCUUCCUACACAUCCACCAUGUCAACAUUAUUACUGUACAUACAUAGAAAAAAACACAAUAUGUAUUUUAUUACAAUAUUUAUUUAUUAAUAUGUAUGAAUUAAGAUUACUUUCAGCAUUCAUCCAAUUUGACGGUCAUGUCAAAUCAUCAUUAUUCAAAUAUAACAGGCAAAAACAUUAUUACACUACUUUUAAUAAGGUAAAAAAAAAUCCAAUAAAAGUGACCUAAAAAUACAUAUUUUUAAAAAACAAUU